CAUUAGAUGACUGAUAGUAAGUACUGGUCUCUUAAACCACUUUAUAAUAGAUUAACACCUAUUUCUAAUGA
rnacentral:tRNA from 1 species